UCAGUCGGAUCGCAGGCUGCAACCCGCCUGCGUGAAGUCGGAAUCGCUAGUAAUCGCGGAUCAGCAUGCCGCGGUGAAUACGUUCCCGGGCCUUGUACACACCGCCCGUCACACCAUGAGAGUCGGGAACACCCGAAGCCCGUAGCCUAACUUGCAAGAGAGGGCGCGGUCGAAGGUGGGUUCGAUAAUUGGGGUGAAGUCGUAACAAGGUAAC
rnacentral:rRNA from 1 species